CGGAGAAGCUCUUGUGGUCGCCGGAACCAUCACCGAAGCUUCUGCAGUUUGAUUCAGUCUUUAAUCCUUUCUCAUGGGUCAAGCUCCGGUUAUUGCGGGUCAUGAUUAAAUCUGCCGCCGAACCGGUUUGGAGACCGCCGCUGUUCGGUUCAGCCGUUCUUUCUUCGUUUCGGAAUUAGAAUCCGGUUUGUUUAUGCCGCGUGUAGCUGUUUCUGCUUUCGAGAGAGAGCAAGCAGGGCCGAGGUUCUGAUUGUCGGUGAUUUUGGGCUGAGCAAAAAGGAAUCUGUUAACGAGUUUGGGUGAUAGUUUUGAUUUACCGAGGUAGGGGCGCUUUCCAAAAACUAUAGUUUAUUAUUGGAAUUAUUAUAUAUGGAUACUUAUGCGAGACAAUGUAUUUGGUGAUUAUAUAAGCCUUAUGUGAUGUUGAUUGUCCUA